GAUGAACGCUGGCGGCGUGCCUAAUACAUGCAAGUAGAACGCUGAAGGAGGAGCUUGCUCUUCUGGAUGAGUUGCGAACGGGUGAGUAACGCGUAGGUAACCUGCCUGGUAGCGGGGGAUAACUAUUGGAAACGAUAGCUAAUACCGCAUGACAACAGUUAUUGCAUGAUAACUGUUUAAAAGGGGCAACUGCUCCACUACCAGAUGGACCUGCGUUGUAUUAGCUAGUUGGUGAGGUAACGGCUCACCAAGGCGACGAUACAUAGCCGACCUGAGAGGGUGAUCGGCCACACUGGGACUGAGACACGGUCCAGACUCCUACGGGAGGCAGCAGUAGGGAAUCUUCGGCAAUGGACGGAAGUCUGACCGAGCAACGCCGCGUGAGUGAAGAAGGUUUUCGGAUCGUAAAGCUCUGUUGUAAGAGAAGAACGAGUGUGAGAGUGGAAAGUUCACACUGUGACGGUAUCUUACCAGAAAGGGACGGCUAACUACGUG
rnacentral:rRNA from 1 species